rnacentral:ncRNA from 1 species
UUAUAUAAAGGGCAAACUCAACGAAAGUUGAGGACGCAAAGUCAUGGGUCUAAGGUGAUUAAGUCACUACGAUUGCCAAACUGCCGAA